GUUAAGAAAGUCAGUUUCUGAGCCAAUGUUUUGGAAUAUUGGGUCUACCUUUUCUUCCAGCAGGUGCAGUAUUUUUGGACUAAUUCCAGAAACGAUUUUUGAUCACUUUGAGUUGAUUUUUGUAUAGGGUGAAAGAUGGAGGUUGAAUUUCAUUCUACUACAUAUAGAUUUCCAGGUUUCCCAACACCAUUUUUAAAAGAGGCUCUCUUUUAUCCAACAGAUGUUUUUAGUGUCUUUGUCUAGUAUGAGAUAAUUGUAUUGAUUUGGGUUUAUCUCUGUGUCUUCUAUUCUAUUCCAUUGGUCUUCUUGCCUGUUUUGGUGACAGUACCAUGCUGUUUCUGUUACUGUAACUCUGCAGCAUAAUUUGAGGUCUAGUAUUGUGAUGACUACUGCCUCACUUUUCUUUCCAAGUAUUACCUUUGCUAUUGUGCAUCCCUUAUUUUUCCAAAUAGAGAAGCAUAUUAAAGGGAUAUGAGUAAGAAAAGAAGAGCUUAAAUUAUCUAUUUGCCAAUGACAUGAUUCUAUAUUUAGAAGACCUUCCCCCCCCCCAAAAAAAAAAACUCCACCAGAAGACUCCUAGAGCUCAUAAAUGAAUUUAGCAAAGUAACAGGAUAAAAAAAUUCAACACUCAUAAAUCAGUUGCAUUUCUAUACUCUAAUAACAAAUCUGGUGAAAAAGAAAUUAGGAAAACUAUCCCUUUCACAAUAGCCUAAAAAAAAUAUUUGGGAAUCAAUCUAACAAAAGAGGCAAAGACCUUCUACAUGAAAACUAUAGAACAUUAAAGAAAGAAAUUUAAAAAGACCUUAGAGGAUGGAAAGAACUCCCAUGUUCUUGGGUAGGCAGAAUUAAUAUUAAUAUUGAAAAAAUGGUCAUACUACCCCAAGCAUGAUACAGAUUCAAUUCCAUCCCCAUCAAAAUUCCAAAGAUAUUCUUCACAGAAAUAGAAAAAGGAAUCAUGAAAAACUACUUUUCUAACAAAGUAUUGUUUUACAAUUGUAAACAUUAUAGAACAUACAAGAAUAAAGUCAAAGUAAGUGUCUUCCUUACCUAACUUUUACUGUUUCCCAGAGAUAAAAGUGUAUAUCAGUUAUUUUUUGUGUUUAUGAUUCUAGACAUUUUAGAGAAAUUGAUAUAUAUGAGUGUUAGGGGUAUAUAUAGAUAUAUUUCAGUAUGUACAUGUAUAUGAUAAAAUGAUAUGCCACAUCUAUGAUAUAAAUAUAUCAAAAUGCACACAUACAUAUAUUGCUUUUAUAUACAAAUGGGAACAUAUAAUUCAUUUUGUUCUGCAACUUAAUUUUUUACACUUAACAUUUUAUUUUGGAUGUCUUUUUUCCUUAGCACACAUCUCUGUUUUAUUCUUAUUAACCCUACCUGUUAUUUUAUAUUCCAGAAGUAUUUUAUGACUGCAAAUUUUAUUUAAAAUAUGUUUCCAACUGCAUAAGAAUUCAGUUUUGUUCUAUGGCUCAUUGUCCUCAAAAGAACAAAAUUUCUUGGUUUCAGAAGCCCAGAGUCAGGAAAUACAAAACACACUGCAAAAUAAGACACUAAGAAAUAAAACAAAGCAAAGACAACAUAAUAUAUUCAGAAUAGUGUAAAAGAUUAAUGCUAUCAAAAACCCAAGGAAUGGAUAUAUUGUUACAGUUGAGCACUAAUGCUUUUUAAAUAUAAAUAUUCAAGGAAAUGAUGUAAUAUACUUGUAAACACUUAAAUAAUGGAUUAAGGGAAGUUAUAAAUAUUCUCAAAUUCUUUUAUGUGAAUAAAAUUUUAUAAGAACAUUUCAGGUUAAAACCAUCAGGUAUUCACUGCAUAGUUCAUGCAGUUAAUAUUGAUGCCAAAGAAAAGGUGAGUGAUGACAAGCUUUUCUUUCUGAACUGAAUUUUCAGUUAGAUAGCUCAGGAAGAGAGGGACAGAGCCAUGGUUAUAUGCUUAAAAGCACAGUUUAUGUAAAUUAGACCAGAAAUCUUGUGAAGUCAUAAGAUCUAAAUGAGUGUAUUUUGUUUAUAUCUCUGACUAGACCCUUAGGUCAAAAUGAAGUAAGGGCUGAGAUAGUAUAUAAAAACCAUUUCUUACAUUUGUAUGGUACUGAAUUAAUCAUUUUUCUAUUAGAAUAAAAACUGUGAUUAUGUUAACAAUAGAUCUGUAGGCUCAACAAUUACCUGCAAAUAAUGAUGUUUUUGUAGUGUCUAAGCUAAUAGACAUUAAUAAUAAGCUAAUUCAAUUUAAUAUGAAUUGUUUCACUUGAACAUGGCAGUAGAUAAAUAAAAUACAGUCACUGCUUUCAUAUCAUUUAAGUUGAUGGCAUAAAAUAUUUUCCUUUUCAUUAUUUUAUAAUGUAUUUUAAUUGGCUUUGUCCUAGCAAUCAACAGGUAAAUUUUUAUAAAAGAUGUGUUAUAUAUACAGUGAAGUAGAUAAAGUAUAAGAUUAUAAUUGUUAGGAGCAAUGAGAAUAGUGUUCUUGGAAAUUAAUUCAGUAUUAUAUAGAAUAUUUUAUUUUAAUAUGUUUAUUUUUUCAUUAUUUUUAAUUUAAGCUCUCAACGCUUUGUGACAUAAUCUUUGAGUAUAUUCUAGUAGUGGAAAAAGCAGAUACAUUAACAUAUGAAGGUAAUAAAAUUUAUAUAAUGUUAUAAAUAAAAUAAAAAUUUUAAGUUAUAAUUUAAAAUGCAUAUGGAAGUGUUUUAUAUUUUUAUAUGUAAAUCAAGAAUAGUUAUAGUGCUUGGGCAGGUCAUUUAAUGCUAAAUAAUGUGACAAAGGUAAAAUGCAAUUUUGUCAUCAUGUAGGCAGGAUAAAAUGGUCUUGAUGAAAGAAGAAAAUCAUGUGAUAUAAGUUGAAGUCAAAAUACCACUUUUGAAUAAAUUGUGGAAAUAUAGAGUUUGUUCCAAUAGAUUUCUUCUGUCAGUAAAUAUAUGUUGGACGUUUGCUUUACGUCACACACUGUUCUUGUGAACAUAAUUGGAACCUGUCUACAUGUUGUUUAUAUUCUAGGAAGGAAAUAUCCCUAACCAGUGGAAAAUAGGCAUGUAAUAUUGGGUAUGUGGGAUGUGCAUUAGAAGAAAAAGCAGGAUGAGGGGAUGGAGUGAUGGUUUGAAGAAGUGGUAUUUUGAGGGGUAGCCUUGCUACUAAAGGGCAUUUAAACAGAGAUUUGAACAAAGCACAGAGAUGAGUCUGCAGAAAGAGUACAUGAAGCAGAGUCCAGCAGGAGCAAAGGGUGGGGGUUGGGAGCAUAGUUGCUGAAUGAAGGAUUUGGAAAGGAGGCCAGUGUGAUGGGAGUGAAGUGGACAGGAGAGAGAAUGGUGGUGUAAUAAGAAGUGAGAGGAGCAAAGCUAUAGGCCAUGUGCUGGGAUUUAUUAGGAGAUUGGAUUCAAAUGACAUGAUCUGGAAGUUUUGAAAAGAUAGUAUAAGAUGAUAAAACUCAUCUUUGAACAGCUGUGACCUUGAGUUUGUAAUAAAUCCUGGGUUUUUGUGGGCCAUGUUUCAAUGUCAGAGGUAACACGAGACUAUCUUUACUGUGUAGGUAGAUGAUGUAAAUCAUGGUGAGUUGUUGGAAAGAUAAUUGAUAGGCCAUACAAAGAAUGAUUGAAGCAUAGGGAUACUUUUCAAGGUGAUUACAAACUUGGAAUGAAUUUGAGUAUAUCUUUAUGUUGCUUUUAUGGCUUUCUUAAUUCUUAUAAAAAGUUCUUGACACAUUUUUUUUGGUAUUGAAUUGUAAAGGAUUCUUAGCAUGUUUUAAAGUGGGUUGUAUUGUUUUGUUUUAAAACAAGCAGAGGAGAGGAAGUGAAUUGAAUGUUAUUAACCAUGUAAGAUGGAGAAUGUACAGGAUGUAUUGUCUUCCAAUGAGGACACUUGUGUUUUGACAUUUGAGAGCCUGGAAAAGAGAACUGAUAAUAAGGAUUGAUAAUGAUAAGUAAAGUAAGUACAAAAGAAUAAAAUGACAUUUUUUUGUUUCAUGACUUAUAAAUUUUAAAGUUAUAUGAUUAUAUACACUAGUGUUUUUCACUUUCCUUCGACAUUUUAUGACUCAAACUCUUCCACAGACACUAUUGACUAGAAAAUAUUUGGUACUCUAAACAACAAAAUGAACAGAUAAACAAAAUUUAUAUAUCUUCCAUAAUAUAAAAUAAGUUGAAGUUCUUAGAUGAUUUCUUUUACUUUCCUUCUUAUUCUUUUGUGUUUGUUUCUUUUCAUGUGAGCUGGGCAGUAAUGACAUCUGAAGCCUUAUCAUAGAUAAUAGGUAAUUACAGGAAAGAAAUACUGUGGCUUUGUUCUGCCCCUUUUAGCAUUAUCUUAACAGAGAAAAAUUGCCUAGAAGAUGUGGGGGUGGGGAGAAAGCAAGGAACAAAAUGAGCACAGAAAAAUUACAGAAGCAUCAGAAAUAUCAAAAUGCUACCCUGUAAUGUGUCCACCUGCAAAAUCAUAACCUUCAUCAUCAUCAUCAUUCUAAAUAGUUAGUUUUUCUUCAACUCACACUUUCCGGGAAAGAAUUUCUCUCUGAAGGUUUCCAAAUUAUCCACUUAAACCAUGUAAAUAAACAACUUCAAAAAUGAUCAUAACUAUUGUUUUUAAAUUUAGUAAAUAUUUGUGACUAAUAAUUCUAUUUUCAUCUUGACUAGUAGAUAUUAAAAAGUGAACUUUUAAUAUCCCAUUUAUGAUAGCCUAAAUUUUAAGAUGUAGUGAUUUGGUCUCUUUCCACCAAAACAUUUAAAUUAUUGCAGUGUGUUUCUAAGUUUCUGCAUUGACAUAGCAGCAGUGAUAUGAAGGCUAAAAGUCAACCUUUAAGAAUGUU
rnacentral:lncRNA from 1 species